rnacentral:rRNA from 1 species
AGUUCGAUCCCGGCUCAGAUUGAACGCUGGCGGGAUGCUUUACACAUGCAAGGUCGAACGGCAGCACGGACUUCGGUCUGCGGCGAGUGGCGAACGGGUGAGUAAUGUAUCGGAACGUGCCUAGUAGCGGGGGAUAACUACGCGAAAGUGGCUGACACCGUAUACGUACCUCCUCUGGGGGAAAGCGGGGACCUUCGGGCCUCUUCGCACUAUUAGAGUUGGCCGAUAUCGGAUUAGCUAGUUGGUGGGGUAACGGCUCACCAAGGCGACGAUCCGUAGCUGGUUUGAGAGGACGACCAGCCACACUGGGACUGAGACAGCCCAGACUCUACGGAGGCAGCAGGGAAUUUUGGACAAUGGGGGAAACCCUGAUCCAGCCAUCCCGCGUGUGCGAUGAAGGCCUUCGGGUUGUAAAGCACUUCGCAGGAAAGAAACGGUACGAUACCUCCGCAACUGACGGUACUCAAAGAAUAAGCUAACGCCAACGCUGCGCCAGCAGCCGCGUACAUGUAGGGCGGCAAGCGUUAAUCGGAAUUACUGGGCGGAAGCGUGCGGCGGCGGUUCGGAAAGAAAGAUGAAAUCCCAGAGCUUAACUUUUGAACUGCAUUUCUCCUUUAACUACCGAGCUAGAGGUCAGAGGAGGUAACUCGCGUAGCAGUGAAAUGCGUAGAUAUGCGGAGGAACACCGAUGGCGAAGGCAGCCUCCUGGGGAUAACACUGACGCUCAUGCACGAAAGCGUGGGGAGCAACACACAGAUUAGAUACCCUGGUAGUCCACGCCCUAAACGAUGUCAACUAGUUGUUAGCCUUCGGGCCUGGUAGCGCAGCUAACGCAGGAAGUUGACCGCCUGGGAGAGUACGGUCGCAAGAUUAAAACUCAAAGGAAUUGACGGGGACUCGCACAAGCGGUGGAUGAUGUGGAUUAAUUCGAUGCAACGCGAAACCUUACCUACCCUUGACAUGUCUGGAAUCCCGAAGAGAUUUAUGGGAGUGCUCGCAAGAGAACCGGAACACAGGUGCUGUAUGGCUGGUCGUCAGCGCUCGUGUCGUGAGAUGUUGGGUUAAGUCCCGCAAUGAGCGUGCAACCCUUGUCAUUAGUUGCUACGAAAGGGCACUUCUAAUGAGACUGCUGCGACAAACCGGAGGAAGGAUGACGUCAAGUCUCCAUGGCUCCCGGUGUAGGCUUCACACGUCAUACAAUGGUCGGGACAGAGGUCGCCAACCCGCGAGCGGGGAGCCAUCCCAGAAACCCGAUCAGCCCGGAUUCCAGUAGUCUGCAACUCGACUGCGUGAAGUCGGACCGCUAGUAAUCACGGAUCAGCAUGUCGCGGUGAAUACGUUCCCGGUCUUGUACACCUGGCCCGUCACACCAUGGGAGCUGGGUUUUACCAGAAGUAGUUAGCUCAACUGCAAGGAGGGCGAUUACCACGGUAGGAUUCAUGACUGGGGUGAAGUCGUACGCGGUAA